AUUGAACGCUGGCGGCAGGCCUAACACAUGCAAGUCGAGCGGAGCGGCGGACGGGUGAGUAAUGCCUAGGAAUCUGCCUGGUAGUGGGGGAUCACGUCCGGAAACGGGCGCUAAUACCGCAUACUAUCAGAUGAGCCUAGGUCGGUUUAGCUAGCUGGUGGGGUAAAGGCCUACCAAGGCGACGAUCCGUAACUGGUCUGAGAGGAUGAGCAGUCACCCUGGGACGGAGACACGGCCCAGAGGCCUACGGGAGGCAGCAGUGGGGAAAAUUGGACAAGGGGCGAAGUCCUGAUCCAGCCAUGCCGCGUGUGUGAAGAAGGUAUUCGGAUUGUAAAGCACUUUUAGUUGGGAGGCGGUACCAACAGAAUAAGCACCGGCUAACUUCGUGCCAGCAGCCGCGGUAAUAC
rnacentral:rRNA from 1 species